rnacentral:rRNA from 1 species
AGGGUUCGAUUCUGGCUCAGAUUGAACGCUGGCGGCAGGCCUAAUACAUGCAAGUCGAACGGUAACAUAGGAAAAGCUUGCUUUUCCUGAUGACGAGUGGCGGACGGGUGAGUAAAGUUUGGGAAGCUACCUGAUAGAGGGGGACAACAGUUGGAAACGACUGCUAAUACCGCAUACAGCCUGAGGGUGAAAGCAGCAAUGCGCUAUCAGAUGCGCCCAAAUGGGAUUAGCUAGUAGGUGAGGUAAAGGCUCACCUAGGCGACGAUCUCUAGCUGGUCUGAGAGGAUGAUCAGCCACAUUGGGACUGAGACACGGCCCAGACUCCUACGGGAGGCAGCAGUAGGGAAUAUUGCACAAUGGAGGAAACUCUGAUGCAGCCAUGCCGCGUGUGUGAAGAAGGCCUUCGGGUUGUAAAGCACUUUCGGAGGGGAGGAGAAUGACGUUACCCUCAGAAGAAGCACCGGCUAACUCCGUGCCAGCCGCCGC